rnacentral:lncRNA from 1 species
CUUUUUUGGAAACCCUAAAUACAACUGCAAUAAAUUGAUUAUGACCCACAAAAUUGUAUUUGUAAAAUUCUAUUGUUUGUCCCUGCCAUGAUCAGCAAAUGCUGUCCAUGUAAUGCAGGAGAUUAAAAGUGUUUUGGUACUUCUACUGUUUUAUUGCUACCACUCCUUUCCCACACUUCCUGGUAUGGUGCAUCCUUUUCCAUACCAAUAUCACACUUCCUGGAAUGUUCUUUCUUCCUUAUCACACUCCAGGAAGUAUGAUAUUGGGGGUGAGAAUCAACCAUCAAGAGUCCAAUUAGAGCAAAGUAAAGAAUAUUAUAGCUGUUUAUGUAAGAGAGGAG